GGAGAGAUGUCCGAGCGGUUUAAGGAGGUAGUCUUGAAAACUACUGUAGGAGAAAUCCUACCGGGGGUUCGAAUCCCUCUCUCUCCG
rnacentral:tRNA from 1 species